AACAGGGAGUUCUGGUGCCAUCGGACAACCUCAACAAGGAGGGGAACGAGUGAGUGUGUGUGAGAGUGUGAGUCUGUGUGUAUAAUAGUGUGUGUGUGUGUGUGUGUGUGUGUGCAUAAGAGUGUGAGCGUUUCUGAAUAACAGUGAGUGUGUAUAAGGCUGUGAGUGUGUAUAAGAGCAUGAGUGUUUUGUGUAUAGCUGUGAGUUUGUGUGAGUGAGUGAGUGUGUGUGUAUCAGUGUGUGUGUGUAUAAGGGUGUAUAAGAGUGUGUUUGUUUUACAGUGUGUGCAUUAGUGUAUGUCUAUUACAGUGUGUAUUACAGUGUGUGUAUGAGUGUAUAAGAGUGUGUGUGUGCAUUACAGUGUGUGUAUUAGAGUGUGUAUAAUAUGUAUAGUGUGUGUGUAGUGUGUGUGUGUAUUAGUGUGUGUUAGAGUGUGUAUUAUAGUGUGUAUUAGUGUGUGUCAGAGUGUGUAUAGAGUGUGUCUAGUGUGUGUGUUCUGACCGGCGCUGCUGUAGUUGAAGAGGGGGGGGCAGUAUUAGUGUGUGUUAGAGUGUGUAUAGUGUGUGUUGUUGUGUGUAUAGAGUGUGUCUAGUGUGUGUUCUGACCGCGGUUCAGUAGUUGAAGAGGGGG
ensembl:lncRNA